rnacentral:lncRNA from 1 species
GAUGAAGAAGCCCUGGUGGAGGGUGGCGUUGGAGACGAGGGAAGAGAGGAGGAGCUUCAACUUGGUUUGGUAUGUUGUGUUGGGUUGGUAAAAUGGUCCAUCAUCUGUGCAGGCAUGUGCGCUGUAUAUAGGAGCUGCUGCUUCACUUGCAAUGGUCACCAAGGUGAAGAGAAAGAGGAGUAGCAAGUGGGAUGAAGAGGAUUUCAAGUUUAACAUCU